rnacentral:rRNA from 1 species
CUUGCUUCUCUUGAGAGCGGCGGACGGGUGAGUAAUGCCUAGGAAUCUGCCUGGUAGUGGGGGAUAACGUCCGGAAACGGACGCUAAUACCGCAUACGUCCUACGGGAGAAAGCAGGGGACCUUCGGGCCUUGCGCUAUCAGAUGAGCCUAGGUCGGAUUAGCUAGUUGGUGGGGUAAUGGCUCACCAAGGCGACGAUCCGUAACUGGUCUGAGAGGAUGAUCAGUCACACUGGAACUGAGACACGGUCCAGACUCCUACGGGAGGCAGCAGUGGGGAAUAUUGGACAAUGGGCGAAAGCCUGAUCCAGCCAUGCCGCGUGUGUGAAGAAGGUCUUCGGAUUGUAAAGCACUUUAAGUUGGGAGGAAGGGCAGUAAAUUAAUACUUUGCUGUUUUGACGUUACCGACAGAAUAAGCACCGGCUAACUCUGUGCCAGCAGCCGCGGUAAUACAGAGGGUGCAAGCGUUAAUCGGAAUUACUGGGCGUAAAGCGCGCGUAGGUGGUUCGUUAAGUUGGAUGUGAAAUCCCCGGGCUCAACCUGGGAACUGCAUUCAAAACUGACGAGCUAGAGUAUGGUAGAGGGUGGUGGAAUUUCCUGUGUAGCGGUGAAAUGCGUAGAUAUAGGAAGGAACACCAGUGGCGA